rnacentral:lncRNA from 1 species
AUGGGAUGUGGGAUGCGGAACAUGGGAUGGACGUGGGACACAGGAUGCAGGACAUGGGACAUGGGAUGUGGAAUGCGGAACAUGGGGUGGACAUGGGACACAGGAUGCAGGACAUGGGACAUGGGAUGUGGAAUGCGGAACAUGGGGUGGACAUGGGACACAGUAUGCAGGACACGGGUUGUGGGACAUGGGAUGCAGGACACAGGACGGGAUGUGGGAUGCAGGACACGGGAUGUGGGACACGGGAUGUGGGACAUGGGAUGUGGGACAUGGGAUGCAGGACUUGAGACAGAGGAUGUGGGACGCAGGACACAGGACAUGGGACACGGGACAUGGGACAUAGGAUGCAGGAUGUGGGACACGGGACAGGCGAUGCAGGACGUGGUACAUGGGAUGCAGGACAUGGGACAUGGUACACAGGACAUGGGAUAUGGGAUGUGGGACACAGGAUGCAGGACAUGGGACAUGGCAUGUGGGAUGCGGAACAUGGGAUGGACGCAGGACAUGGGACGCAGGACAUGGGAUAUGGGACACGGGACAUGGGACACAGGAUGCAGGACAUGGGACAUGGGAUGUGGGAUGCGAGAUGGACGUGGGACAUGGGACGUGGGAUGCAAGACACAGGAUGCAGGACAUGGGACAUGGGAUGUGGGAUCUGAGACAUGGGAUGUGGGACAUGGGAUGCAGGACUUGAGACACAGGAUGUGGGACGCAGGACACGGGAUGUGGGACACAGGAUGCAGGACAUGGGACAUGGUACACAGGACGUGGGAUAUGGGAUGUGGGACACGGGAUGUGGUGCAUGGGACAGGAUGCAGGACGUGGGACAUGGGAUGUGGGAUGCGGAACAUGGGAUGGAUGCAGGACACGGGACAUAAGACACGGGAUGCAGGACGUGGGACAUGGGAUGUGGAACAUGGGGUGGACAUGGGACACGGGAUGUGGGACACGGGUUGUGGGACGUGGGAUGCAGGACACGGGACAUGGGAUGCAGGACACAGGAUGUGGUACAUGGGACAUGGGAUGCAGGACACGGAAUGCAGGGAUGUGGGACAUGGGAUGCAGGACACGGGACAUGGGAUGCAGGACACAGGAUGUGGUACAUGGGACACGGGCUGCAGGAUGCAGGACACGGGACGGGAUGUGGGAUGCAGGACUUGAGACACAGGACGUGGGACACAGGAUGCAGGACGUGGGACACGGGAUGUGGGAUGCAGGACAUGGGAUGCAGGACAUGGGACAUGGUACACAGGACGUGGGAUAUGGGAUGUGGGACAUGGGAUGUGGUGCGUGGGACACAGGAUGCAGGACGUGGGACAUGGGAUGUGGGACACGGGAUGCAGGACACAGGAGAUGGGGGACAUGGGAUGUGGGACUUGGGACAUGGGAUGAGGUACAUGGGAUGCAGGACACAGGAUGCAGGAUGUGGGAUGCGGGACAUGGGAUGCAGGACAUGGGAUGUGGUACAUGGGACAUGGGAUGUGGUACACGGGAUGUGGGACAUGGGACACAGGAUGCAGGACAUGGGACAUGGGAUGCAGGACAUGGGAGAUGUGGUACAUGGGACAGGGGAUGUGGUACAUGGGACACGGGAUGCAGGACACGGGAUGCAGCAGGUGGGAUGUGGGAUAUGGGAUGCAGGACACGGGAUAUGGGAUGCAGGACACGGGGUGUGGGACAUGGGAUGAGGUACAUGGGAUGCAGGACACAGGACAUGGGACAUGGGAUGUGGUACACGGGAUGUGGGACACGAGACACAGGAUGCAGGACAUGGGACAUGGGAUGCAGGACAUGGGAGAUGUGGUACAUGGGACACGAGAUGUGGUACAUGGGACACGGGAUGCAGGACACGGGAUGCAGGAGGUGGGAUGUGGGAUAUGGGAUGCAGGACACGGGAUAUGGGAUGCAGGACACGGGAUGUGGUACAUGGGACAUGGGAUGAGGUACAUGGGACAUGGGAUGCAGGACAUGGGACGGGACGUGGGACACAGGAUGUGGAAUAAGAGACAUGGAAUGUGGUACAUGGGAUGCAGGACACGGGACAUGGGAUGCAGGACACAGGAUGUGGUACAUGGGACACGGGCUGCAGGAUGCAGGACACGGGACGGGAUGUGGGAUGCAGGACUUGAGACACAGGACGUGGGACACAGGAUGCAGGACG